rnacentral:misc_RNA from 1 species
ACAAACUUGGUCAUUUAGAGGAAGUAAAAGUCGUAACAAGGUUUCCGUAGGUGAACCUGCGGAAGGAUCAUUACAGUGCCGCCGGGACUUGCCCCCUAAACCAGGGCGAGCUCCCGCAACUGGCCACCCGUGUCUACCGAACCUCGUUGCUUUGGCGUGCCCGCUGUUAAGGCCGCUGGAGAAUUUGAAUGUUUUCUGGCCUGUGCCCACCAAAGUCUUAAUGAAUUCUUGAUUAUACUUUUUGCUGUCUGAGCAUUAAAAUAAACAAAUAUACUUUAAAACUUUCAACAACGGAUCUCUUGGUUCUGGCAUCGAUGAAGAACGCAGC